CAUCCUUCUCGUUCCCGUGUAGGGAUGGAGCCAGGCUUGGGAGACACGGCGUAAAUUUGUUUUCCAUCACAUGCCGCGGCACGAGGUCCGUGUGAAGCUGCCCCGAGAGGACGACGCGGCCCAAAAUGAAGUUGUGCGGUCGUUACAGAGAUCGGUCACGUCACCAAGAUGGAGUUCCCUACCUUUGGAUGCUGAGUAGGAUCGACUGGGCAGGAAGAAUCCUACCUAGAAGAGAAAUAAAAAUAAAUUAUCCCCUUAAACGCAGUGCAAGAAAUACGGCCCUCAAGUCUCACCAGGCGGCAAAACAGUGAGAGUUCUGUGUGAGCUCUGUCUCAGAGUUCCCAGAACAACAAAAAGUUCUCAGCUUGGUCCCAGGCUGUGUCUCAUGAGUUGCCUGCUUACAGGGGGAGGUGGUGGCAAGUCGAAUUUGCCUUCCAGACAGUGGGAAAUGGAUUUGCUGUGUGCCAACCAGCCACUGGCAGAGCUGGCAGGGUCGUUCCUGAGCAGUAACUGUCCCUGCCACUUCAGCACCAUCUCCCAGGUCGUCUCCAAGCACUCACAGACCAGGAGAAAGACCACCACAUGAGUUAUUUUCUGUGCCCCCCCAGCUCUCAGCUGACAGGUAACCCUCUCGUUGUACAAAAAGUCCACUAAUGGACCACUUUUGGGACACAGUUACUGCUUUCCUACCAGUGAAGGCAGAGAAGCUGCCUCUCUGGGGUUCAGCAGAUCUGGGAAUGGAACCUAAGCCCCAAACCUCAAUUAUCUCUUGACACUACUUGACCAUGAUCCUUGUUUCUUGCUUAUUUAUUCUUGAGAAACACAAACUCUGGGAUCCAUCCUUGCUUCUUGCUGCAGUGAAGGAGGCAGAUACACAUAGCCAUCAAACCCUCUCAUUUAGGCUUUCAGGCUUAGGCUUUUAUUCUUAAUGCUUCUGAUUGCUCAAGAUUAUAGGGGGAAAAUCACUUUCUAUUAUCACCUAAUGAACCAAGGAAAAUGCUUGGAAGAGGCUCUGGGAGGCACAGAUAUUCUCUGUGGAAGUGAGAGAGGAUUCUGGAUGGAGCUCAGCCACAAGGGUUACUCUUCUUCACCUCCACUCCUAAUGGCAACUUCACUUCCAGGUGUAGGGAGAGGCCUUCUCCAAAGGAAUCCAGCACAGAUGCCACACGUGCCAUCUCUGGCACCACUGGGCCUCUGCCUGAACUAAGCUAAAGGAAGAUCCAAUAUUCUGUCUGCACCUACAGCACUGGCCUUGCUGCCCUUGUCAUAGUAGGUCUGUAGCAUGAGUUUCUUACAGUCCACAACCGACUGUGCCAGCUAAGUU